AGUGAACGCUGGCGGUAGGCCUAACACAUGCAAGUCGAACGGCAGCACAGUAAGAGCUUGCUCUUACGGGUGGCGAGUGGCGGACGGGUGAGGAAUACAUCGGAAUCUACUUUUUCGUGGGGGAUAACGGAGGGACACUCACGCUAAUACCGUAUACGACCUACGGGUGAAAGCAGGGGAUCUUCGGACCUUGCGCGAUUGAAUGAGCCGAUGUCGGAUUAGCUAGUUGGCGGGGUAAAGGCCCACCAAGGCGACGAUCCGUAGCUGGUCUGAGAGGAUGAUCAGCCACACUGGAACUGAGACACGGUCCAGACUCCUACGGGAGGCAGCAGUGGGGAAUAUUGGACAAUGGGCGCAAGCCUGAUCCAGCCAUACCGCGUGGGUGAAGAAGGCCUUCGGGUUGUAAAGCCCUUUUGUUGGGAAAGAAAAGCAGCAGGUUAAUACCCCGCUGUUCUGACGGUACCCAAAGAAUAAGCACCGGCUAACUUCGUG
rnacentral:rRNA from 1 species